rnacentral:rRNA from 1 species
GAUGAACGCUGGCGGCGUGCCUAAUACAUGCAAGUCGAGCGAACGGACGAGAAGCUUGCUUCUCUGAUGUUAGCGGCGGACGGGUGAGUAACACGUGGAUAACCUACCUAUAAGACUGGGAUAACUUCGGGAAACCGUAGCUAAUACCGGAUAAUAUUUUGAACCGCAUGGUUCAAAAGUGAAAGACGGUCUUGCUGUCACUUAUAGAUGGAUCCGCGCUGCAUUAGCUAGUUGGUAAGGUAACGGCUUACCAAGGCAACGAUGCAUAUCCGACCUGAGAGGGGGAUCGGCCACACUGGAACUGAGACACGGUCCAGCCCCCUACGGGAGGCAGCAGGAGGAAAUCUGCCGCAAGGGGCGAAAGCCUGACGAAGCAACGCCGCGUGAGUGAUGAAGGUCUUCGGUUCGUAAAACUCUGUUAUUAGGGAAGAACAUAUGUGUAAGUAACUGUGCACAUCUUGACGGUACCUAAGCAGAAAGCCACGGCUAACUACGU